rnacentral:lncRNA from 1 species
CUCUGGGGUUACUACGCUCUGUUGCUGAGCCGGUGGGGCAGGCCCCGGUGGGUGAUGCAAGGGCAGUGAUGGGCGGCUGACUGGAGGAGGCCUUUGGCAGCACUUGGGGAGGACCGCGACUGCGGCUCCUCAGCAGGUCACCACAGCACUGCUCAGAGGCGGCGGCUGGUUACCAGCGUGGCCCGGCGGUCACAAUGGGGCUGGCCUGCGGCCGGGUUUGUGUUCUGUGCAUCCUGGAGUCUGGCUCAACAUUCUCAUUGUCAUUGUCACCCUCACAAUCACAGCCCUCACCACGGUCCCAGACUGGAGGGCAUACACGUGAUAACACAUGAAUCCUGCUCCUACGAGCUCUGCAGCUAAGGAACCUGACCUCCAGGCCAGGCCAGGCCAGGUCCUUACAUGGCCUCAGGAGGCAGUGGAGAAGCCUGGGUGGGAUUCCUGGCCUGGAGCACCUGCCUGGCUGCGCCCGGUGGGCAUCUCAGAGAAAAUGUCACUCUACAUCGGUGCCACUCCACAUUGCAUGGGCUCCAGCCUGAUUUCCGCCCAGAGGCCCUGCAGGGCUCUUCUGAAGCUGCUCGUCACUGCCACCCCUGUCCGGGGCAUUCCGGUCAGGUAGCUUCACGGCUCUGGGGCCUGGAGCCCCCCAGCAGGAUUUCUAUCUUAAAGCAAUAAUUUGUCCAAGGUACAGAGUGGACAUGUGUGGGUUUGUGGGGAAGAAGAAUAACCCCUGCCAAGGGGUUUAGGCACAUUCACCAGCGGGGCCCUGGGGGAGUGAACCUGGCCUGGGAGAAAACCUGGGAGAGUGGAAAGUGGGGAGGCCUCUGGGGCUCCAAGGGGUUUGGGGUGGUCCUGAU